GUAUAAAGCUCUUUCGUCCGGGACGAAAUCGCCAGGCGAAUAUCCUGUGUGGAUGACGGUACCGGAAUAAGAAGCACCGGCUAACUACGUGCCAGCAGCCGCGGCUAAUACGUAGGGUGCGAGCGUUAAUCGGAAUUACUGGGCGUAAAGCGUGCGCAGGCGGUUUUGUAAGCCAGAUGUGAAAUCCCCGGGCUUAACCUGCGAACUGCAUUUGGGACUGCAAGGCUUGAGUACGACAGAGGGGGGUAGAAUUCCUGGUGUAGCAGUCAAAUGCGUAGAUAUCAGGAGGAACACCGAUGGCGAAGGCAGCCCCCUGGGUCGAUACUGACGCUCAUGCACGAAAGCGUGGGGAGCAAACAGGAUUAGAUACCCUGGUAGUCCACGCCCUAAACGAUGUCAACUAGUAUGUCGGGGGCCUUACCGCCCUUAGUACCGCAGCUAACGCGCUGAAGUAGACCGCCUGCGGAGUACGGUCGCAAGAUUACAACUCAAACGAAUUGACGGGGGCCCGCACAAGCGGUGGAUGAUGUGGAUUCAUUCGAUGCAACGCGAACAACCUUACCUACCCUUGACA
rnacentral:rRNA from 1 species